UAGUCCACGCCCUAAACGAUGCUUACUCGAUGUUUGGGCUUUAUGCUUGAGCAUCCAAGGGAAACCAUUAAGUAAGCCACCUGGGGAGUACGUUCGCAAGAAUGAAACACAAAGGAAUUGACGGGGGCCCGCACAAGCGGAGGAACAUGUGGUUUAAUUCGAUGAUACGCGAGGAACCUUACCUGGGCUUAAAUGGAGACUGCAUAAAGCAGAGAUGCUUUUUUCUUCGGACUGUUUUCAAGGUGCUGCAUGGUUGUCGUCAGCUCGUGCCGUGAGGUGUCGGGUUAAGUCCCAUAACGAGCGCAACCCCUACCGUUAGUUACCAUCAGGUCAAGCUGGGGACUCUAGCGGGACUGCCGGUGUAAACCGCGAGGAAGGUGGGGAUGACGUCAAAUCAGCACGGCCCUUACGCCCAGGGCUACACACGUGUUACAAUGGUCGGUACAGAGGGCAGCUACAUAGCGAUAUGAUGCGAAUCUCGAAAGCCGGUCUCAGUUCGGAUUGGAGUCUGCAACCCGA
rnacentral:rRNA from 1 species